rnacentral:misc_RNA from 1 species
UAUCGCUUUAUUCCUAUCUUAGUGUCACUAACAUGAAAGAUAUGAUGUAAACUUUAUGGAACAAACUUUCAGAAAAUACUAAACUGGUUAAGAUAGUAAACAGAAAACAAGGGCUAUCUAUAAAGCUAAAAUAAUAUAAUAUCAUUUUCAGUUACGCGACCCCCCCAUAGUAAAACUGGUGAGCCUUUUCCAGUCCUCAUGGAAAAGGAGAACGCAGAGACCAUGCAGAUUACCUCGGAUGUGAGCAACAUCGGUUGGCUUGCCAUGCUUACAACCAGGCUAGCAAGCAACGUGCUUCUCAAUCUCAUCGAUACUAACGAAGGCGACCUUAUGAAGCCAUCAUGAUUCUGACAAUCGGUCUCUGGAUUAAAGCCAUCAUGAAAGAAGAGUUGUCACGCUUGAAAUGGCAGACGUGCCCACCACAUCAGUUAAAAUGGCAAGUUGCAGCAUUGAAUUCCCACACUUCUGUGAAGUUUAAUCCAUGACUGACAGACGAAAUGAAACACUAUUUUAUGCAUAUAAUAAUUUAUGGUAAGAUAAAUUUACAAAGAAAACUGAAGUUGAUUGUUAUUUGUAGCAAAAUUAUAGAUGAUAUGACGAUAUCUUCAAAUAUCCUACCUAGUCAGAAGUGUGACAUUACGAAAUAUACCUAAUAUACGUACUAUCAAAUGAAGUUCUCACAGCAGACAGACGGCUCAGCCUAUUGCAGUCCACUGAUGGACAUAGGCCUCCCCAAAUUCGCGCCAAACAUCCCGGUUUUCCGCAAUUCUCAUCCAGCCUACACUGGCAAUCUUACGUAGAUCGUCGGUCCAACGGGCCGGAGGACGUCCCACACUGCGUUUGCCAAAACGCGGUCUCCACUCCAGGACCCGUCUGCUCCAGCGACCAUCGGUCCUGCGACACAGAUGGCCAGCCCACUGCCACUUCAACUUGCUAAUUCUGUGGGCUAUGUCGGUUACUUUCGUUCUCUCGCGGAUAGUCUCAUUUCUAAUCCAAUCCAGCCCGUUCCAUUGCACGGAAGACUUGAAGUUCUUUAGUCAACUUGACUUGAAGUUCUCAAGUCAAGUUCAAUCAUUAUUUUAUAUGAGUUGUUUAUAUAGUGUGUAAAGUAGUGCAGUUAUUAGUUAGUGUUUUAAGCCAGAAUUAUGUCCAAAAUGUAGAUUUAUCUAAUAUAUUUAAACGAGCAAUUCUUGUAUUCUUGCAGGGGUUGUCAGGGUCAUUUUUUUACCCUUGUUUUCGGGCAAUGAAAAACUGCUACAAUAUAAUUAGACAACGUACGACAAGGUUGUAAUAGCUCAGGUGGAAAAUCAGGCGGUCCCAAACGGAGAAGACUCCGGUUUGAGACUAGAUAUCUGCAGUCUGAAUUUUUUUUUCACUUUUUUUUUAAGUUCCUUCUUUUGUGAGAAAAACUAUUAUUGAGAGCCUUUUAUCAAUGCAUGUAAUUCGUAUCUAAGCAUAAAAAAAAAUCUCAUAAUUUUUUAGUAUUAUUAUGUCGGUAAGAUCAUACUUUGUCGUGUGUAAUUUGUAUUUAAAUAUAAUUUCCAAAAAACCCGAUUUACUAAAAAAAAAAAAAAAAAAACUGAGCUAAGCUCGGUCAUCCAGGUGCUGUUGUAUAUUCUAUGUAUUUGUAUUAAUAAUAGAUUUCUAUUACAGUCAAAUAAUUCUCUUGUUGUAUUGAUUUUACAAUUAUUAUAAUUCUUCUUUUAAAUGAUACGAAAGUAUACUACUUGUAUAUAGACAAUCACUAAAAAACCUUCUUUAAUCGAUUUAAAAAAAAGAAGGUGAUUCUCAAUUCAACUGUAUUUUUAAGUAGUCCUCAUAACUUUCUAUUGGUUGUAUCGAUUCUGAUGACUCUUACUUUUAUCGCAGGCUGGUGCUUUUCAUGUGUUCCCAUUUAGAUUUUUGAGUCAUACUGAAUAAUGUGUAUUUAACUGAUUAUAAGGUCGAGUGUUUUUUUUUUGUUUGCGAGCAAGCAGUUAUGUUUAUUCGUAAAACUUUGUUAUCUCUCUCACUGUUAAAGUCUGGCGUCUAAAUUAGAAAAUUCCUUUACUUAGGGGAAUAGGUGGCAGUAAGGUGUGAUAUAAUUUUAGAAUAAAUGUCAGUUUGAGCAUGUCACCUCAAUAUAUGCAUCUCAGGUUUAAUAAACGUAAUAAAGUUAGAGCUGUUACAAGAAAUGUACCUAAAAUAGUUUCAUGGUUGAAAAAACCUACGUGUCAUGAAGUCAUCAAAGUCUUACAAACUACGGGACCUUUCAAACGUCAAGUUAAAUCUGCAUUUUAUAAUACAUAUAACUUAGGCAAAACUAAAAUUUGUAAACAACUAAAUAUAAACUAAUUUACGAAACAGCUCCUGGGGGGAUUGGGAAUUGGGUCGGCAACGCGCUUGCGAUGCUUCUGGUGUUGCAGGUGUCAUAGGCUGCGGUGGUCGCUUACCAUCAGGUGAGCCGUACGCUUGUUUGCCGACCUAGUUACAAAAAAAAAAAAAAAAUUUGGAUAUAUUGACUUAUCGAAAAAGUUCAACGAAUCUCAUUGUUAUUGUUCAUACUGUGUCAAGUGCAUAUUAGAAGCCUGAGUAUAUAUUUAUUUCUUUAUUUAUUUCAGCUAACAUUUAUUGCACUUACAGUAUAAAAACUAAGGCGUACAAGAAAUAAACAUAAAUAAUAUUAUAACAAAUAAACAGCAAUACGAGAAUACACUAAACAAUUUAACAUAUAAAAGGUACACAAACAAGUAUUGAUCAGUAUUGAUCUAUCUACUUUACAUUAUAUUAACAGGCUUAAAAAAGGUCCUCAAGUCGACUGUAUUUUUUAAAUGUUUGUGUUUCGUAACUUUUUACUGAGUAUACCGAUUUUGAUGCUGCUUGUUUUGAUCAAAAACUGGUUCUUUUCUUUCGACCCUAUUUGAAUCUAAUCGAGAUCUGACGAGUAGUAUUUGAGUUAUCCCUAAUAAUUAGUGUAUAUUUUUGUUGUUUGACUACCUACGUUGUAUUAUUAUGUGGUCAGUGAAACAAAUGUCUUUAUAAAAACUAUUACUUUAUUAGCACAACUUAUUAAUAAAAAUACAAAGAGUUAGGAAACAGAGCCUAAAAAUAAAGGAAUUGUCAAGGGAUGUUUGGUUAUUUACACAUUAAUGAAUAGUAAAUACGGUUAAUUUAUUGGCUAGACUUAUGGUGCUAAUGGUUAGUUACAAAUUUGAGUAAACAGUGAUAAACAAGGUAUAAUGAUAAGACUAAUGAUUCUAAGUAGAGCAAAUGACGUUAAUAUAGUGAUUAAUAAUGAUCAGUAAACAAUAAACAGUGUAAUUAAUAUCUUUUAGUUCUAGGUUGUGAAGUAUGUAUGUAAGACCUACUUUAAAAUAAAAAUAGGAUCUUUGUUGAAGUGCCCGAUUUUUUAGGAGUUGAAGAUGGGAUUGAGGCUUCUUCGUGUUCUUCAUCUUCCGAGAUAUACGAUGUGGUAGAAAUACUCGUAGGAGCCAUAGGAAUUUCUAUGUUCUGCCUUUGUCUUGAGUUGUCGAAGCAAUUGUUGAAGAUUUGGAUUCCUCUUGGUUGUUCGUCGUUGUUGUCGUUCCAACAAAGUCGUAAAGGUUGAAUUCAACGCCAGGGACAACAUUUGUAUUCCAUUUUGCACUUUAGUCUUGAGUUAUAAUUGUAAACUGGCAAGUUUCUACAUACUCUUGUUCUCGGUGCGAAGAUUUUACAUCCGUCGAGGCUCGAAGAGAAAUAAGUGUUGAUGUGUGGGUGAAAUGGGAAAGUAUGAAUACUCGUGGAAUAGGGAGGAAUUAAGAGGGGAAUUGGUAUGUUUAUGUGAAUAGAAUAUUUAUUUAUUUAUUUAUUUUAUACUUUAUUGUACACCACAAAUAUAUUACGAACAAAGCAUAAAGAUAGUUACAGACAGUGAGGUAUAAUGGGCAGACUUAUGGCUAAUUAGCCAUUUCUUCCAGACAACCCAGACAUAAAAAGGAAACUUAUUAUCUAAAUUGGGUAGGUAGGUGGUGUACAUGUAUGACUUAUAUACUUAACUUAUAUACUUAUAACUUACAAAUGUCUACAUUCUAAUACCUAUAAUAAAAUAAAGAAUUUAUUAUUAUUAGUAUGAUCAUAAAAAAUAAACAGAUAAAUAAAAAGAGGAAUAAAAAUAUAAUAUAUAUUUUAUCAUAAACUAAUAAAGUUUGUGAGUAAUGAACGUACAUUGAAGAUAACAAUUAAAUGAAAUGAUAAAAACACAAAUAUACAUACAUAUAUUAUAAACAAAAUGAGAAAAAAAAGAAAGAAGUACAACAGAGAAAGAAUAUGUAGGUUUCGGCGAAGGCGUAUUGGAAGCCACUUGAGCUUGGAACGAAAUUCAGAAACAUAGUCAAAUUUGCGUAGUCAAAAUAUGAACCGGAUGGCAAGAUUUUGAAGUCACUCAAGCCUAUUAAGUUGGUCCUCGGUCAAAUUAGACUAGCUUACAUCUGCAUAAACUAGAAUAGACAAGAGAAGAGAGUUUACCAACAUAAUUUUGGUACGGUUAGCUGGUUAGUAUACAUUUAGAAUAAAGUGAAAAUUUCUCAAUUUUCACUAAGGGUAAAAUUCUAUUACAUAUAGUUUGUUCAUGUAGAUAUAGGAAGUAAUUUUUGUUGAUUCUAUGACGUCGUGUAUAUUUUCUAAGCUAAUAGUUGCAACGAGAUUGUUAUUUGUAUUACUAGGAGCUAAGAGUUCUCUGUAUAGUCGUACUGUUGAAAUGAGAGGUGUGGAUCGCUCCCGAUUUAAUUAAACAAAAUGCUUGUUACAAUGUCAUCUAAUUCUUUUUGUAAUGUAAUUACGGAUUCCAAAAUUUCGAUAGACAGUCGAUAUUUGCUCUGAUGCUCGUAAAUCAAAAUAAUUUUAUUCGUGUUAUCCAAAUAAGAGCUUAGUUUUUGUAGGUAAUCAUUAAUUCAAUAUUUGUCAUCCAAAAUUCGUUUCGUUAAAGUUAGCUAUAGUUAUUUGUAAUUUUUGGUUUAAUAUUUGAUUUUGAUCGACUUGUUGUUUUUCAAACGUUUCGAUACAUUUAUCAUAAUAUUUAGCGUCUUUUGUAUACAGAGUUCCCAGUGGCGUAGCGUGGUUGUCGGUCGCCUGGGGCGGAAGAAAAUUUUGUCGCCCUCUUAUUUAUAAGUAUUUCAAUUUAAUAUAUACUAUAUAUUACAUACAUUAUUAUAGAGAACUUUUCGGCAAGAACUGUCAUCAUUAUUUUGCUAUAUAUAUAAAAUAAAUAUUUGCAAUGUAUGCGUAAGAAAUGUGUUUAUUUACGACAUCACGUUAGAAACCUCUAAAACUAAUUGUGUUCCUCUACUAUAUUAUGUAUGUAUUAUACAUGAAGAGUCCACUGCAAUAAUGAUGAUGCCAAAAAAUAUUUAAAUUUUAACGAGUAAUCCAUUCGGUCACUUGAAAUUAUAUUUAGAAAUCUAGUUUUCUAACUUAUGAUAAAUAUGUAUUUAAUAUAAUGACUACACGGCUAGAACCCUCAACGUCGCAGGUGUUCACGGCAAUAAUGAUAAAUGUCCAUCGCCUCGCACUGCCCGCCAUCUUGCUGUCAAAUCAGUGGCGAUCCCGCCAAUUGUUUUGUCACUCUUUGUAAGUUUGUCGUUCUGUAAGUUAUUUAUUUCUUAAAAUUAUGGCUGAGAACAACGAAAUGACCAGAAAUACGAAAAAAAGAAAACAGACAGGAAGAAUGAGUGAUGUUUUAAAGAAAAUUCGACUCCAAGGACAUGAAAUUGGCGAUGACUGCAAGUGUAAUCGUUUUAAAUGUUUUGAAAUGAUAAAUGAAGACCAAAGAACAAGAAUAAUACGACAAUUUAAUAAUUUUGCGAAAAGAUACGAUAAGGACAAUUAUUUAAGCUGGCUUAUAACCGUUUCUAAUGUACAACGUCAUCGUCCACGAAUAGGUGAAGAAAAUGCGAAAUUACAUAAUAAGUCAUAGUCUCUUGCAAGAUUCGUAUGAUUGGGGAUGAUACUUACGAGUUACCGGUGUGUAGAAAAGCUUUUAUAUCCUUACAUGGUAUCACUGGAAGAAAAAUUCAAUUUCUUCAGAAAUCAUUGACUGAGCAUGGCGUUGUUCAAAAAGAUAAACGGGGGAUACCUACAUGUUAAAACAAAGCUUUCAAAAUUAACUACUGAUUUGAUGUACAAGCAAAUUGACACUCUGAAAACAAUUAAUGGUAAAAGGCCACUAUAAUUUACGUGAGAGUCAAAAAAUAUAUCUGUCGGAUGAGAUAAACUUGUCUAAGAUUCACAAAAUGUAUAAUGAAAACAAUCCAAAUAACAAAGUAUCAUACGAAACAUAUCGAAACUUUUUCAAAAAGAACUUCAUUAAUCAUUCGGUUAUCCCAGGAUGGAUACAUGUUCGACUUGCGAUGAAUUUCAAGCUGAGAAAAAGCAUUUUGAAAUUAAGAUUGCUUCUCUUCCUGAUGGCCACGAAAAAUCUCAGAUUUUGACUCAACUUCGAAGACUCGGAAUUGAAAACUUAGCACACAAGAAGAGAGCUGAAGUUUUUUUUAUGAUAAAAAAAGAAAAGGUCGUUUGAGAGCUAGGCAAGAUGUCAUAACAAUAGCGAUAACAAUGGAUUUCUCAAAAAAUCUUCCUGUACCGAACAUAACUACAAACGAUGUAUAUUAUAAAAGACAGCUGAGUUAUUUUAUGUUUAAUAUUCAUGUGCUUGCUGAUUCCUCAUCUUAUUUUUUCGCUUACGAUGAAAGUAUUGGAAAAAAAGGAUCAGAUGAUGUGGCCUCUCAUCUAUUAGAGAGGAGGUACAGGUACAAGUCAAGACUCUUAUAAUUUUCUGUGACUCGUGUGGUGGUCAAAAUAAAAAUGAUACCAUCUUCAGAAUGUUACACUACAUAGUUCACUGCUGCAAUCACUUAGACUCUGUCACAGUUAUAUUCCCGAUAAGAGGGCACUCAUACAUGGAAUGCGAUCGUAACAUAGCCUACUUAAAUCAAAAGGCUAGGAUUGAACUUCCUGAAGAAUGGGCCGAACGUGUGCGUGGAGCUCGACAGAGACCGAAACCUUUCAAUGUCAUCGAAUGCUCCCAAGAUUCAAGGGCUAGACUGAAUUUUUGAAACCGUUUUACAAAAAAACUUGUCCUUUUCCCAUAAGACCUGUGUGUGAAUUUAGAGUAGACAGAAAUUUUAAUAAUAGUCCAUGGGAAUCAAGUGUGGUGAACACACCAGUUUCUUUUCGGUCUAUGAAGGCAGUUAAUGAGGGCGAAUUCAAAUUACCUGGUUUGGCUUAUAAAGAGAAGCUACCUAUAUCAACAACGAAAUAUAACGACCUGCAGUUCUUGAAAAAGUUCUGUAGGCCUGAAACAAAACGUUAUUACGAUGAACUUCCACAUGCGCAAAUAUUAAAGAUUCAGAAGUUAAUUAAAACAGUCAUUUGGACACCAAUCAUUAUUGACUAUGAACGCAGUGUCCACACACAGUGAUCAUUAUAGUCCUGAUUUUUUAAGACUUAUUUAAGAUUCGAUUAUUUUUAAUUAGUUUACAAUACUCUAAGAAUGAUUAUUUUCUAAAAAAUAAUACUAUUAUGCCUAUACUUUAACUUUAACAAACAAAAUUUUAUAAUCUUCAUGUCUGAGUUUUUUUACACCGUUUGUAAAUUUAAAACCCAAUUAUCUUAAAACAAAAGACGAAGGACAUUCAUCAUUAUUGCAGUGGGCCCUUCACAUAUAAACCUUCCUCUAGAAUCGCUCUAUUUACUAAAGAAAACCGCGUUAAAAUCCGUUGCGUAGUUUUAAAGAUCUAAGCAUAGAGACAGCGGAAAGCGACUUUGUUUUAUACUAUGUAGUGAUGGUGUAACUUUUUGAAAAAUUGGCAAAAAAAAAUUUACUGAAGUUUUUUCCGAUCGAGUGUCUAGAUUACACCAUAAUUUAUGAAAAAAAUUUACAUUGUUAUUUAAUACUAUAACAAACAAAUUGGUUGUCUGUAAAGUUGGUUAACGGACGAUAGUUUGACGUGUCAACGUCAUAACAAAACAUCUCCUCGGACACAUAGGCCAAUUGAGUGGAAGAGAGAUAGAUUCGGCGCAAACGUGCAAUG